rnacentral:tRNA from 1 species
GAUGGUUGAGUGGUUGAAAACAACGGUUUGCUAAAUCGUCACGUAUAGUUUAUUCAACACGAUACGUCAUGGGUUCGAAUCCCAUUCA